rnacentral:lncRNA from 1 species
UGAGAGCUCAUUUAUGAGAUAUCCCAAAAGAAUUUGGGAUAUCACUUUCUCUUUCUAGUGGUUCAGAAUGUGAUUGUGAGCAAUAAUAUUAUUUUUUUAGAAACAGUGGAAGGAUAAAUUUAAAGAGAAAGUCUCUAAAGAACAACAAGUCAUAGGAUAUAUAUAUAACCUAUUUAAGAUGAGCCAGUAUAUAUAGUACCUCCUCUACUUCAUAGAUCUAGUAGGAUCUCUCAUUCUUUAAAAAGGUACUUGGUAUAUUCUUACAAAAGAUUCAGAAAAAAUAUUUUUUGAGAGAGAUUGGGAACAUAGGAAUGAUCUCGAAACCUACAACGAGACAAUAU